GUCGAGAAUAAUUCACAAUGGGGGAAACCCUGAUGGUGCAACGCCGCGUGGAGGAUGAAGGUCUUCGGAUUGUAAACUCCUGUCAUCUGGGAGUAAGACCUGACGGUGAAUAGCCGGCAGGGUUGAUAGUACCGGAAGAGGAAGGGACGGCUAACUUCGUGCCAGCAGCCGCGGUAAUACGAAGGUCCCAAGCGUUGUUCGGAAUCACUGGGCGUAAAGGGUGCGUAGGCGGCGUGGUAAGUCAGAUGUGAAAUCCCGGGGCUCAACCUCGGAACUGCAUCCGAUGCUGCCAUGCUUGAGGGCUGGAGAGGUAACUGGAAUUCUCGGUGUAGCAGUGAAAUGCGUGGAUAUCGAGAGGAACACUCGUGGCGAAGGCGAGUUACUGGACAGCAUCUGACGCUGAGGCACGAAGGCCAGGGGAGCGAAAGGGAUUAGAUACCCGAGUAGUCC
rnacentral:rRNA from 1 species